CCACAUUCUUUCUUCAAUCUAUCGCUAUGGAUGGUGUCCAAGUGACUCACAAACCGUAAGUCGACCUACCCGUUACGCCAGGCAUCAGUCCCACGGCACCAUGCACGGGUCAGGUCCUCACUUUACGGCUGCAUUUUGUCUAAAUCUGUCCUAAAACCAUUGCAUGUUCAUGCAUAUCAUUUGUUUAAAUUCACUUGUUUAUAUCUGUCACUGGCUCAUUUCGAGCAUUAGCAUACUUCCAAACGGGAACACAUUCUGUUUCAAUUGCCUAAACAUACUAGGCAAUUCUGUGCAUGCAUUUCAAAUCUCACUGCUCAUUUCGUUUUGUUUCCCUGACAUACUAGGCUCACGGUUCGCGAAAUUUUCUACCAAACGGGAACUAGUUCAUGCAUUAACUAUUGUACUACACACGUUUCGUGCGUUUACAACCCACGAACAGAACUUUGGUUUGUUACAAUGACUGUUAUUAAGCUAUUAUUGUCAAACAGGCACUGUUUGUUUCCCUGUCAUACAACUAUAAUGCUGGGGCAUAGCUCACGAACAAUGUUUCACAUAAACCACACUGACUCCUACAGGUCACUCUCAAAAUCUCAUGUUAAUCUUGCAUUUGGAUUAACCCCUUAAGGGCCAAACUCUGGAAUAAAAGGGAAUCAUGUCACACAUGUCAUGUAUCCUUCAGGGGUUAAAGGGUAUUUUACCAUACAAUCAGCGUUUCUGACCCCUACUGGUCAACAGCAAAACUGUCUUCACAUGUCAUAUACAAUUACCAGCCAAUAUAAAUUACACAUAAGAUUGUUUUAAACAUAACCAUAAACCAUAAAAUAAACUCCAACACGGGCUCAACUUCAGGUUUAAUUCACAAUAAUUUACAUUUCACAAUAGGGAUUAACAGUGGUUCUAUUAACACUGCCACCUACAGGUCUGUCAAGUACAUUGACAAUUUUCAUGGGGUUUUACAAAACACCAAAACACUGACCCCUAUAGGUCAACAGACCAACAACAUUUCACAUACCAAUCAGUAUCAACUACACUGCCACCUACAGGGCACUCGGCAGAUCUCCAGUGCACUUGUAUUUUGCAACACCAUGUUCACUCACCAUUCAAUAAGGCAUACAACAAUUCACAUAGCAAGCAGUAUAUCAACAUCUGUUAUAAAUACACAUAUUAUUACACAGUUGCACACGCAUCUGUAUAUACGUAACUGGUAAUAUGGUUCACAUACAUACGGCACUUAAUGGGUUAAGAUUGAUACAUAUUUAACCAGUAUGGAUAAGAUGUUUAAUAUUUACAUAUCACGGCACUUUACUUUCACAUAUACUGUAUGUUUUAAGAUAAGCUUGGUCUAUGCCAUAUUUCCUUAUGCCAUACGAUUUUAUCCAUUCAGGUUACAGUUACUACUAAAAAACCUAUACGGAUUGUCAGGUUCAAUACAAUACUACCAGGUACGUACACCUGCUCACGUAGUUAUCCAUCUCUUACCUUCCCUGGAAUAGUAAUAGUGUACUGGCAAUUAGGGUUCUAGGGCCCAAUAGGUAUUACCCCCUUUUUUCUCUGCAUUAUGCUUCGGUUAGUGGUCCCGCGAGGCCAACACCCCGCCUCACACUCGGAGGCAUACACCCCUCGGGCCACUCGUGAGCUAGCCGCCUCGCAUUGUAUCAUAGAGAGGGCCUCACCUGUCACUCCCCUUCCUAUUUUUCUGGUUACUGUCACCGAGAGGCCAACAUCCUGCCACAACGUUCGGUGGCCACACAAAAUCCCCUCGCGCCAAGCAUAGAUAGAGCCUCUCAAGCCACUUGGCAACUAGCAGGGCCUCACCAGUCACAAAAAAACACCAAGCCUAAUCGUUUCUCCUUACGGCUUAGCUAGCAAGCCGGUACAAGACCCCUGGGUACAAAUAUAUAAUUGCAAUUUUAUUGUUAUUCAAGUAUUCCUCAAAAAGAUGGUAAAGAAUCACCUCUUCCUAGCACCCCGGCUAGAAGUGAUACACCUUCAUCUCUUACCUUCCCUGGAGUAGUAGUAAUGUACUGGCAAUUAGGGUUCUAUGGCCCAAUAGGUAUUACCCCCUGUUUUCUCUGCUUUACGCUUUGGUUAGUGGUCCCGCGAGGCCAACACCCCGCCUCACACUCGGAGGCAUACACCCCUCGGGCCACUCGUGAGCUAGCCGCCUCGCAUUGUAUCAUAGAGAGGGCCUCACCUGUCACUCCCCUUCCUAUUUUCUGGUUACUGUCACCGAGAGGCCAACAUCCUGCCACAACGUUCGGUGGCCACAAAAAAUCCCCUCGCGCCAAGCAUAAAUAGAGCCUCUCAAGCCAUUUGGCAACUAGCAGGGCCUCACCAGUCACCAAAAAACACCAAGCCUAAUCGUUUCGCCUUACGGCUUAGCUAGCAAGCCAGAACAAGACCCCUGGGUACAAAUAAUAAUUGCAAUCUUUAUUGUUUAAGUAUUUCUCAAAAAGAUGGUGAAGAAUCACCUCUUCCUGGCACCCCGGCUAGAAGUGAUACACCUUCAAGCAGAUGAGAUGUGGCUCCGACCUAAGGAGGCGACAAAUCCCCUACCCUGCCACAGCAAGGAAAGCAGAAUUAUUCAAACUCCUCCAUACAUCAACGGACAACACGGAGGCAGGGGAAGGCCCAGCAACACCAACUCAGGUGACACCCAGGCCAUGCUAGCCUCACUCAUAAACUCAUGAGCCAAAAAAUUUACGACAGACUGGCAAUCUUGAGUCGGUCACAGCCCUCACAAGGCUGGGCCUCACGCUACUGUACAACCAGCACCAACCGAAACUCGGUUACCUGGUACAAUCAAUUCUUGGUACAAGACGUUAACCCUGCACAUAUGAUCCCGGCACAUUGGGGAAACAAGGCAUAUAUAUGUAUGAUGAUGUAUCUAUGAUGGUCAGACCCAGGGAUUCUAGGUAAAUCGGGAACUGACCAUCCCUUGGUUGUGUUGGCAUUUGGAAUAUGUAGAGAUGCUUAUUUGUGCAGGUACCCAUACAGAAGGGAUUUUCUCCCAAACAAACGGACGAGUACUCUCAGGCUCCAGGUACCAGCACCUCUGAACUAACAGAGACAAUUGGUAUUAGUAGUUGCAUUGCAUAUAGACUGUUGCAUAUAUGUUCAAAUCAUUCAGGGCACAUGACAAACCAUGUGUCCCAAUACAACUUACAAAUAACGUACUCACCAUCUGUACACACCAAUGCAUUUUCAACACUACUGACUCAUCAUCCUUCCAGACUUGUAGUAGAUUUACUAAGGCUCUGGAGCUUCAAAGGGCUCCCAUACAUGUAUCAUAAAUAAACCCUCAAGGAAUAUAGCAUGCCCUCACUUACAGUCAGCACAACAGAACCGUCAGCUGUAAACACACACAUAGCCAAGAUUUGCAGAGGGGUUUUUACUUGGGUUUUCCAAUCUCCACCAUUUACAGCAUGGCACCAAACACAAACACAUUGGUAUUGUCACAAGGGAAUCUUCCCUUAAACAAAGACUAACCAUAGACUUAUUGGCACCACACACCUUCGCUACCCCAAGUCUCAACUCCCUCAUACCCUCCGAGGAGUUUCCUUACUAUACACACCAUUGAUCUACCUUUACAGCUAUCACUCAAGCAUGGGUUGAAGAUUUGUUAAGUAAGACCAAUAUCAUCAACACAGUAAACGGCUACCAUCUACCGUACAAACUGGCACUUACAUGGCAUAAAUGGGCAAUCCUUUCCCCGCUAAAAGCAGCUGCUGUGGCAUGGGGUAAAUCAUGGUCAGGGUCAUCAAUCCGUUGUUACUCAGACAACUAAGCACAUGUCAUAUCAUCAACAAAUGCCACUCAUCAUCCAUACGAUCAUGGUAUUGCUGGGGAACUCACUUGGUUGGCCACUUACCACAUUUCUUUUACUUUCGUGUACCAGGCGGGGGUAUACAUCCCUGCCGACAAUUGUCUCAUUUAUAUUCCAGGAAUGUCCAUCAUACGCUUCCUACAGCCGCCUAUACAGUCACGGCCACUCUUUCGUUCCAGAGACAAAAUCAUGGAUUAGACAUACUCAUGCAGCAUAGCAUGCACUAUCCCACCUAGCACUUUCAUCCUAUACUUGUAGAACGCAUAACACAGCUAUUCACCUGGCUUUAAAGAAUCUCAUUGGAACACGACAUAGCUCAACCUGUGUCAUAACAUUUCUCCUAGGUUUUGCUUCAUUUUUUUGCCACCUUAAACUAAAACCAUCUCACACACCAUUAAUUAUAUAUUUUACAGGCAUUCAACAACAGAGGAUAACCUAUGGCCAAAACUACCAUAACUUCAUGCUAUCAUACCAGACAAGAAUAUACUAUACCAUCCCCCCACGUUCCACUCAGAGAUUACCAAUAGCCAUCCAACUUUUCCAUCCUUAUCGGACCUAUUAGAGCUACAACGAUUCAAUUAUACUACCAAGUCGGCCAUUACCAGCCAUGCACACUGCCUUUUAUGCCUUUCUCAGGCCAGAGAAUCCACUACCAUAACCACCACUCAGACAGAUCAUUGUCUUCAAUGAUCCCACAUAUGUAAACACAUAUAUCAUUACCUAUUGGCUCUACCACAUUCCGAAACAAGUCAACACACACCAACAGUAGAGAUAACAUACUAUCCUACCCACAACAAAUGGUGUCCAGUUGCGGUCCUAGAUUCCUACCUUCAAAAUCCUUCCAGGAAUUAAAUACUGUAAUGCAUUUAAGGAAAUGUCUGGUUAAUUUGUAUAUAUUGUUGACUGUAUUAAAUCUUUGAUUAUUCUUUUUGCCCUCUUUAUUUACAGGCCUACCGUAUCGUCGGUCUCGGCACACCACAACCGACUUGCUCCCUUUAUACUAUCCUACACUUAUGCUGGAACCUUACCCCAUAUACGGCUAUUUGCCCCGAACACAAAUAUUAAUCAACUGAAGACAAGAAGAAAUUAGCCAGUCUUCUAUUCAAGUUUUGUUCCCACUCCAAGGGGGGAGAGAGAAGAAUCGAGUUACAAAGCUAUUUUGGAACUGGGAAAACAAACUUGAAAAGAAAAAAAGAAUCUAGACUGUGGUUUGUAAGAAAAAUAAAGUUUUCAAAUCACAAAGACUGUACAAGACUAUUUUCUACAACUGAGAGAAAAAGCACAAGAUACAACGUGAAUUCUAGCAAGCACGUGGCAGACAUUGGCAAGCGUCCAAAACUGAGCAGAUGUGUGGAUGAAGCAACGAAAUAGACAGAGAUAACUGAUCUGGUAAAGCGUGACAGAUCCUUGUGGCAAUAAAUCAGGAAAGCAUUCAACUGGACAUCGACCGUUGGAAAGAGACUUUUCAUCUGAUCUGCAAACUGUGAUGGAAGAUUCUACAGAGUUCAUUCGAUACAGAAGAUUAACAGACUUACAAAGAAAUAAAAGAUUGACACUAACAUACAUAUAUAUUCCUAAAUAUUAAUGAAGAAGAAAACAGACAAUGAAAAGUUAUUUAACAGUUAUGAGUAUUAAUACCAAAAGAGAC